rnacentral:lncRNA from 1 species
UUUUGUAAUAAUUUUUUCUUAAUGUUUUUUCCACUUAUUACAUGCGUAUUGUCUCAAUAUUGUAAUUAAUGGAAUAGUUAUUUUGUUAAUGCUUUUGUAAAUAUUUUUUUUAAUGAUUUUUCACUUAUUACAAGCAUAUUUUAAGAAACAGGAAAUGAUUUUCACAAUGAGGUGCAAACAUUUCCGAAAAAAAGUUAUUUUUUAGUAACGGGAUAAU